rnacentral:rRNA from 1 species
ACAGAUCGUUCAGAGUUUGAUCCUGGCUCAGGAUGAACGCUAGCUACAGGCUUAACACAUGCAAGUCGAGGGGCAGCAUUAGGUAGCAAUACUGAGAUGGCGACCGGCGCACGGGUGCGUAACGCGUAUCCAACCUUCCCGUUACUCUUGGAUAGCCUUCCGAAAGGGAGAUUAAUACAAGAUGGUGUUGAAAUUCCGCAAGUUAUUUCAACUAAAGAUUUAUCGGUAACGGAUGGGGAUGCGUGACAUUAGAUAGAUGGCGGGGUAACGGCCCACCAUGUCCACGAUGUCUAGGGGUUCUGAGAGGAAGGUCCCCCACACUGGAACUGAGACACGGUCCAG